AGCGAACGCUGGCGGCAGGCUUAACACAUGCAAGUCGAGCGGACGUCGCAAGACGUCAGCGGCAGACGGGAGAGUAACACGUGGGAACGUACCCUUCGGUUCGGAAUAACCCAGGGAAACUUGGGCUAAUACCCGGAUACGUCCGUAAGGAGAAAGAUUUAUCGCCGAGGGAUCGGCCCGCGUCCGAUUAGCUAGUUGGUGGGGUAAUGGCCCACCAAGGCGACGAUCGGUAGCUGGUCUGAGAGGAUGAUCAGCCUCACUGGGACUGAG
rnacentral:rRNA from 1 species